AUCCAGCUGACGAGUCCUGAAUGGGACAAAACGCCCGUCCUAGAU
rfam:Schistosoma margrebowiei strain Zambia genome assembly, scaffold: SMRZ_contig0003823